GACGAACGCUGGCGGCGUGCUUAACACAUGCAAGUCGAACGGAAAGGCCCUGCUUGCAGGGUACUCGAGUGGCGAACGGGUGAGUAACACGUGGGUGAUCUGCCCUGCACUUCGGGAUAAGCCUGGGAAACUGGGUCUAAUACCGGACAGGUGCCAUUUUGAGCGUGAUGGUUGGAAAGUUUUUUCGGUGUGGGAUGAGCUCGCGGCCUAUCAGCUUGUUGGUGGGGUAAUGGCCUACCAAGGCGGCGACGGGUAGCCGGCCUGAGAGGGUGGACGGCCACAUUGGGACUGAGAUACGGCCCAGACUCCUACGGGAGGCAGCAGUGGGGAAUAUUGCACAAUGGGCGCAAGCCUGAUGCAGCGACGCCGCGUGGGGGAUGACGGCCUUCGGGUUGUAAACUCCUUUCGCUAGGGACGAAGCUUUUUGUGACGGUACCUAGAUAAGAAGCACCGGCUAACUACGUG
rnacentral:rRNA from 1 species